GAGUUUGAUCCUGGCUCAGGACGAACGCUGGCGGCGUGCUUAACACAUGCAAGUCGAACGGUGAACCUGCUUCGGUGGGGGAUCAGUGGCGAACGGGUGAGUAACACGUGGGCAACCUGCCCUGCACUCUGGGAUAAGCCCGGGAAACUGGGUCUAAUACCGGAUGACACUCCGUCCCGCAUGGGGUGGGGUUGAAAGUUCCGGCGGUGCAGGAUGGGCCCGCGGCCUAUCAGCUUGUUGGUGGGGUAGUGGCCUACCAAGGCGACGACGGGUAGCCGGCCUGAGAGGGCGACCGGCCACACUGGGACUGAGACACGGCCCAGACUCCUACGGGAGGCAGCAGUGGGGAAUAUUGCGCAAUGGGCGGAAGCCUGACGCAGCGACGCCGCGUGAGGGAUGACGGCCUUCGGGUUGUAAACCUCUUUCAGCAGGGAAGAAGCGUGAGUGACGGUACCUGCAGAAGAAGCACCGGCUAACUACGUGCCAGCAGCCGCGGUAAUACGUAGGGUGCGAGCGUUGUCCGGAAUCAUUGGGCGUAAAGCGCGCGUAGGUGGCCUCAUAAGUCCGCUGUGAAAGUCACAGGCUCAACCUUUGAAAGCCGGUGGAUACUGUGAGGCUAGAGUAACCGAAAAAGCCGACGAUCCUGUGUGUAGCGGUGGAUGCGCCAGAAUAUUCAGGAGGGACACCAUUAGCGAAGCAGCUCGCUGGACGUUACUGACCACUGAGGCGGCGAAAGCGUGGGGAGGCGAACAGGAUUUAGAAUACCUGGUAGUCCACGCCGUAAACGAUGGGUACUAGGUGUGGGGAGGUGUCGACUCCUCCCGUGCCGUCGCUAACGCACUAAGUACCCCGCCUGGGGGAGUACGGCCGCAAGGCUAAAACUCAAAGGAAAUUGACGGGGGCCCGCACAAGCAGCGGAGCAUGUGGUUUAAUUCGACGCAACGCGAAGAACCUUUACCUGGGCUUGACAUGUUGGUGACCGCCGUGGAAACACGGUUUUCCUUUCGGGACACCAUCACAGGUGGUGCAUGGCUGUCGUCAGCUCGUGUCGUGAGAUGUUGGGUUAAGUCCCGCAACGAGCGCAACCCCCGUUCCAUGUUGCCAGCAUUUAGUUGGGGACUCAUGGGAGACUGCCGGUGACAAACCGGAGGAAGGUGGGGAUGACGUCAAGUCAUCAUGCCCCUUAUGCCCAGGGCUACACACGUGCUACAUUGGCGCAUACAAAGGGCAGCAAUACCGCGAGGUGGAGCAAAUCCCAUAAAGUGCGCCUCGGUUCGGAUUGGAGGCUGAAACUCGCCUCCAUGAAGGUGGAGUUGCUAGUAAUCGCGGAUCAGCAAUGCCGCGGUGAAUACGUUCCCGGGCCUUGUACACACCGCCCGUCACACCACGAAAGCGAGCAACACCCGAAGCCGGUGGCCUAACCGCAAGGAGGGAGCCGUCGAAGGUGGGGCCCGUGAUUGGGGUGAAGUCGUAACAAGGUAGCCGUAGCGGAAGCUGCGGCUGGAUCACCUCCUU
rnacentral:rRNA from 1 species